rnacentral:rRNA from 1 species
UACGUAGGGGGCAAGCGUUGUCCGGAAUCAUUGGGCGUAAAGAGCGUGUAGGCGGCCCGAUAAGUCCGCUGUGAAAGUCCAGGGCUCAACCCUGGAAUGCCGGUGGAUACUGUCGGGCUCGAAUCCGGAAGAGGUGAGUGGAAUUCCUGGUGUAGCGGUGAAAUGCGCAGAUAUCAGGAGGAACACCGGUGGCGAAGGCGGUUCUCUGGGCCUGUACUGACGCUGAGGAGCGAAAGCGUGGGGAGCGAACAGG